UCAUUUGAAGCAAAAUAAAUUCCAUUAUACUUUAUUUUGACCAUAUGAUCAACACUUGUACAUAGUGCCAUUUACUUUGUGUUCUUCACUCUCGCGCUGUGUUUUGAUCGUUCGAAACUCAUUGCCAGAACGAAUGCAAAUUUCAUAUGGGAAUGAUCGGUGCCGGAAGAGGCAGCGAAAAUUAUGAAAUGAUAAUAGAAAAGUGGUUAAGUUAAUCGUGAAAGAUGUCAACGCAGACGUAAAUGUAGUAUGUUUUGUUACAUGAUCUACGGGUAAGUGCAUGCAUAAGAAGAAGAAUCUUCCAAAUGAUGUUUGUGUUCAAACAAUCGUACUGCUUUCAAUGUUUGUUUAUUUUUCUAUUAUUUUCCAUCACACCUAGCUAUUUCAUUACCAAAGCUCCUGAUAACAGAUCAAAGCAGAUGGAUCGGGCAUACAGAGUCGCCGUUUAAUUUAAAAUAUCUGCGUGAUCGCAAACGCAUCAAACAGCAAGUGUUUUUCCUUCCAACAGCACGCACCAUCGGUGGUGCAGCAGCUAACGUUUUGUUCGCCUAGCGCGCACCAUCAAGAAUUGAUAUUUUGCCAAACAGUACUGUGAAUAAAAAACUGCACACUUACUGUAGGAA